CUUAUUCGUUAACGAGCAUAAAAGCAUAACUCUAUCUUACCUUUAUUCCCAUAAUCUCCAAAUAAUCUAGUGAGUCUUUCAGGCCUAUUAUAUCCCCUCCGUUUCGAAAACCAGUUUCAUAAAUAUCAUACUCAUAAAUAGUAUUGUUAGCUUCAUUAUUUCUAGGAUCACCAUCUUUCCAUUUAUCCAAAAUAACUGUGUAAAAUGGCACUUGCCAAUCAUCUGGACUGGGAUGGUAUUGAUGGUUUUCCCAUUUUCCCCAAUAAUCUAGAGGAUCGGUAGCUGAUUGAUUUUGGUUUAAAUUCCAUAAAGAUUCUCUUUCAUCAUAUUUAGCAGUAAAGACCAACCUUGGUAUACUUAAUAUCAAAUUCAAGACGAGAAUAUUCUUAUUUCGCAUCGUUUAUGGUAUUUCCUCAAUUGACGUGAAGAAGCUGCCCUGUUCAAAAUAGUUUUAUUAAAAUUAAUGCGAUCGUUAAUGCUAUUAUAUAUGAAUUUAUCAAGAUUUUUCCCGAUUCAAAUGAUGGUUGCUUCUAAAUACGAGAAGAGUACAAUAACCAAUAAGUCAACUUUUUGGAAUGUAAACAAACAAACGAACCUAAAAAAUUUAUAUUAAUUUUUGCUUACACAUGCAUUUCUAUUUUAAAAAUAAAUUUUAAAAAA